rnacentral:rRNA from 1 species
GACGAACGCUGGCGGCGUGCCUAAUACAUGCAAGUUGAGCGCUGAAGGUUGGUACUUGUACCAACUGGAUGAGCAGCGAACGGGUGAGUAACGCGUGGGGAAUCUGCCUUUGAGCGGGGGACAACAUUUGGAAACGAAUGCUAAUACCGCAUAAAAACUUUAAACACAAGUUUUAAGUUUGAAAGAUGCAAUUGCAUCACUCAAAGAUGAUCCCGCGUUGUAUUAGCUAGUUGGUGAGGUAAAGGCUCACCAAGGCGAUGAUACAUAGCCGACCUGAGAGGGUGAUCGGCCACAUUGGGACUGAGACACGGCCCAAACUCCUACGGGAGGCAGCAGUAGGGAAUCUUCGGCAAUGGACGAAAGUCUAACCGAGCAACGCCGCGUGAGUGAAGAAGGUUUUCGGACCGUAAAACUCUGUUGGUAGAGAAGAACGUUGGUGAGAGUGGAAAGCUCAUCAAGUGACGGUAACUACCCAGAAAGGGACGGCUAACUACGUG